rnacentral:RNase_P_RNA from 1 species
UGUUUAUAGUGGAUGAUCGCUUUUAGCCGCCUUCGCUCCCUUGGAGCUACGGCGUGCUGAAAGAGGAAAGUCCGAACACUACGCUACGCGCGAGAGACGCGGAGCAAAUGGCAGUGGGUAACGCCCACCGUCCGCGCAAGCGGAAAGGGAUAGCGGCACAGAGACUAUACUAGCGGGUCCGUAAGGAUGGGUUAUCCGCCCAAGGCGGAUGACUCGGCAGUAGCAAUACUGCCUCGUCAAAGGUGAAAAGUGUAUAGAGGUUUUUGAUCUCGAGUCAAAAGCCACGAUACUCCUCCGGCGGUGACGCUGGAUUGCGCCAAGCCCUGCCUAGUGCAAGAGCAGCGUUUCCCGAUUGUUCGGGAUUCGAAAAGUUCGCUCGCUUCGUCCGCCAUAGCCCGCAAGGGCGACGGCGGGCCAGAUCAUGAUAGUGAUAUCAUGACUAGAUAAAUGAUCGUCUAUAUCCUCCUUCGCUCUUUGGAGCUACGGCGGAUGAAACAAAAUUCGGCUUAUAGCUAUAAACAAAAA